AGAGUUUGAUCCUGGCUCAGGACGAACGCUGGCGGCGUGCUUAACACAUGCAAGUCGAGCGGUAAGGCCCUUCGGGGUACACGAGCGGCGAACGGGUGAGUAACACGUGGGUAACCUGCCCUGUACUCUGGGAUAAGCCUUGGAAACGAGGUCUAAUACCGGAUACGACCCUUGAAGGCAUCUUUGAGGGUGGAAAGUUCCGGCGGUAUGGGAUGGACCCGCGGCCUAUCAGCUUGUUGGUGGGGUAAUGGCCUACCAAGGCGACGACGGGUAGCCGGCCUGAGAGGGUGACCGGCCACACUGGGACUGAGACACGGCCCAGACUCCUACGGGAGGCAGCAGUGGGGAAUAUUGCACAAUGGGCGAAAGCCUGAUGCAGCGACGCCGCGUGAGGGAUGACGGCCUUCGGGUUGUAAACCUCUUUCAGCAGGGACGAAGCGCAAGUGACGGUACCUGCAGAAGAAGCACCGGCUAACUACGUGCCAGCAGCCGCGGUAAUACGUAGGGUGCGAGCGUUGUCCGGAAUUAUUGGGCGUAAAGAGCUCGUAGGCGGUUUGUCGCGUCGGCCGUGAAAACUUGGGGCUUAACCCCGAGCCUGCGGUCGAUACGGGCAGACUUGAGUUCGGCAGGGGAGACUGGAAUUCCUGGUGUAGCGGUGAAAUGCGCAGAUAUCAGGAGGAACACCGGUGGCGAAGGCGGGUCUCUGGGCCGAUACUGACGCUGAGGAGCGAAAGCGUGGGGAGCGAACAGGAUUAGAUACCCUGGUAGUCCACGCCGUAAACGGUGGGUGCUAGGUGUGGGGGACUUCCA
rnacentral:rRNA from 1 species